rnacentral:lncRNA from 1 species
AUGGAUGUGAAGUGGGAAACGGAGCCGCGGAGGGAGCUCCUGAAGGAUUGCCUCAAGGUGGAAGCCAAGGACUCGGAGGUCGUGGAGGCGGACGCGGACGAGACGGCGGCGGUCACGGAGACGAGGCGAUGCGCGGACGAGUGGCGGCAGCCGGUCGUGGACGAGGCGAUGCGAGGCAUAGACGAGCGGCAGCCAGUCCCGGAGGCGAUGAGGCGCGGACGAGCAACAACGUCACGGAGGUGGAGGGAGCAGGCGGAGGAAGACGGAGCGGCACCGGGGGUGGGAGCAGGCGGAGGAGGGACGGGCGGGCGGCCAUGGCGGUGCCGCGGCGGAGCCAAGCGAGAGGCUGCGGGAGCUGACGACGAGCGGCGGCGGUCGGUCGCGGAGGCGGUCGCGGACGAGGCGACGGCCGGUCGUGGAGGCGGAGGUUGGACGCGGACGAGGCGGUGGCGGUCGCGG